GAAGUUAAAGGCUGUGGNUCAACCAUAGUUCGCUUUGGAAACUGUCAAACUUGAGUGCAGAAGGGGAGAGUGGAAUUCCAUGUGUAGCGGUGAAAUGCGUAGAUAUAUGGAGGAACNCCGGUGGCGAAAGCGGCUCUCUGNUCUGUAACUGACGCUGAGGCUCGAAAGCGUGGGGAGCGAACAGGAUUAGAUACCCUGGUAGUCUACGCCGUAAACGAUGAGUGCUAGGUGUUGGAUCCUUUCCGGGAUUCAGUGCCGCAGCUAACGCAUUAAGCACUCCGCCUGGGGAGUACGACCGCAAGGUUGAAACUCAAAGGAAUUGACGGGGGCCCGCACAAGCGGUGGAGCAUGUGGUUUAAUUCGAAGCAACGCGAAGANCCUUACCAGGUCUUGACAUCCCGAUGCUAUUUCUAGAGAUAGGAAGUUACUUCGGUACAUCGGUGACAGGUGGUGCAUGGUUGUCGUCAGCUCGUGUCGUGAGAUGUUGGGUUAAGUCNNGCAACGAGCGCAACCCCUAUUGUUAGUUGCCAUCAUUCAGUUGGGCACUCUAGCGAGACUGCCGGUAAUAAACCGGAGGAAGGUGGGGAUGACGUCAAAUCAUCAUGCCCCUUAUGACCUGGGCUACACACGUGCUACAAUGGUUGGUACAACGAGUUGCGAGUCGGUGACGGCGAGCUAAUCUCUUAAAGCCAAUCUCAGUUCGGAUUGUAGGCUGCAACUCGCCUACAUGAAGUCGGAAUCGCUAGUAAUCGCGGAUCAGCACGCCGCGGUGAAUACGUUCCCGGGCCUUGUNC
rnacentral:rRNA from 1 species